rnacentral:rRNA from 1 species
AUGAAUGUCAUCACCGAAAUUGCACACAAAUGCACGAACAUCAGACAAAUUGGACCUGGGAGAAUAUUUCUCCACCAUCCUCCUCCUGAUGCUGCUGGAAGCGUGAGAGGAGAUGGCUACCCUCGCCGCCGGACUGCACUGCACACAUGCCCGUCGGAGGACAGUGGCGCCCACCAAACCGAGCUGCAGUGCGGCUCACCUGAGCACUACAUGCAUAGCACCACCGGACUGCACGCGGGGGGCACCGAACUGCAGAAGCCAAAAAAAUUGCCGGCGCCCAUGGAUGAGCUGCUAGAGAGGCUCGCGGUGCACUGCUCCAGGGCUCGCGGCGCACUUCUCGAGGAUGACGGCGGGGCUAGGCCGGCCGGUGCGACGGCGGAGGUAGAAGGAGGCCGGGGAGGGAAGGGUGAGUCGCGGAGGUGGGGCGGCGGCUCGGGGGGAGGAGGUUAG